rnacentral:lncRNA from 1 species
AAAUAUCUGGGGUCCCCGGCCUCAUGCCCGCCUUGCUGCUCAGCCUGCUGGCUGGCCCCCAAAAUGUUGCAGCUAAAUGUGGUCUCUCCUUCGCCUGCCCCAAAGGAUUCAAAUGCUGUGGCGACAGCUGCUGCCAGGAGAACGAGUUCUUCCCUGGCCCCUUGAGGAUCUUCGUCAUCAUCUUCCUGGUCAUCCUGCCUCUCUUGUGCAUCUGUGGCCUGGCUAAGCGCUUCUGUCCCAACUGCAGAGACCUGGACCCAGACGCCCUGAAGGAUUGCCAGGGGCCCCGGGAACUGCCCUCCAUCAUCCCCCUAGAGAGGGUCAGAGCAUCCCUCUCUACUCCCCCACCCCCCUACAGUGAGUGAUUCUGAAGCCUACUCGGGGCCAGAGUCCCACAGAGCCACCCCCUCCCUACAGCUUCAGGCCUGAAAAAUAUACUGGGGAUCAGAGGGCCAUUGACAGCCCAGCCUUCUGA